CCUUUGACGUUAGCGGCGGACGGGUGAGUAACACGUGGGUAACCUACCUAUAGGACUGGGAUAACUUCGGGAAACCGGAGCUAAUACCGGAUAAUAUUUCGAACCGCAUGGUUCGAUAGUGAAAGAUGGUUUUGCUAUCACUUAUAGAUGGACCCGCGCCGUAUUAGCUAGUUGGUAAGGUAACGGCUUACCAAGGCGACGAUACGUAGCCGACCUGAGAGGGUGAUCGGCCACACUGGAACUGAGACACGGUCCAGACUCCUACGGGAGGCAGCAGAA
rnacentral:rRNA from 1 species